GAAAGUGAGAGGGAAAGAGAGAGAUGAGAUGGAGAAAGAGGGGGAUGGAGAGGGGGAGGGAGAUAGAGACAGGUGAGAGAGCAGAAGGGAGGAGAGAGGGAAAAAGCGAAGAGAGAGGGAGAAUUCUCAGACCUUUCUGAGCUAGGGUGUAACUACUCAUAUUAUACUACAGCAGAGAGAGAGAAAGAGAAUAAGGGUAAAAUAAGGGUUAAAUAAAGAAGACAUAAGGUGUAACCCCAGAGGAGGAUGCAUCGCCACGGCAACCAGUUCCAAGGGAUCACCAGACAGUGCUCAGGUCCUCAGGUCUUAGGCAAGAGCACCACUUUAUCCCUAUCCCUAUUUUCUUCUCUCUCUCUUCCUCAGGACAGAAGACCACCGUGUUUGGAGCUGGAUCACCAUCUACAGGUCAGGUCUGGUAGGGCGGAGCAGCUGGAUCACCAUCUACUGGUCAGGUCUGGUAGGGCGGGGCAGCUGGAUCACCAUCUACUGGUCAGGUCUGGUAGGGCGGGGCAGCUGGAUCACCAUCUACUGGUCAGGUCUGGUAGGGCGGGGCAGCUGGAUCACCAUCUACUGGUCAGGUCUGGUAGGGCGGAGCAGCUGGAUCACCAUCUACUGGGCAGGUCUAGUAGGGCGGAGCAGCUGGAUCACCAUCUACUGGGCAGGUCUAGUAGGGCGGAGCAGCUGGAUCACCAUCUACUAGGCAGGUCUAGUAGGGCGGGGCAGCUGGAUCACCAUCUACUGGUCAGGUCUGGUAGGGCGGGGCAGCUGGAUCACCAUCUACUGGUCAGGUCUGGUAGGGCGGGGCAGCUGGAUCACCAUCUACUGGUCAGGUCUAGUAGGGCGGAGCAGCUGGA